GACGAACGCUGGCGGCGUGCUUAACACAUGCAAGUCGAACGGAAAGGCCCUGCUUUUGUGGGGUGCUCGAGUGGCGAACGGGUGAGUAACACGUGAGUAACCUGCCCUUGACUUUGGGAUAACUUCAGGAAACUGGGGCUAAUACCGGAUAGGAGCUCCUGCUGCAUGGUGGGGGUUGGAAAGUUUCGGCGGUUGGGGAUGGACUCGCGGCUUAUCAGCUUGUUGGUGGGGUAGUGGCUUACCAAGGCUUUGACGGGUAGCCGGCCUGAGAGGGUGACCGGCCACAUGGGGACGGAGAUACGGCCCAGACUCCUACGGGGGGCAGCAGGGGGGAAUAUUGCAAAAGGGGGGGAAGCCGGAGGCAGCAACCCCGGGGGGGGGAUGACGGCCUUCGGGUGGUAACCCGCUUUCCCGUGGGACGAAGGGGGGGGGAAGGGAAGGGGUAAAGAAGCACCGGCUAACUACGU
rnacentral:rRNA from 1 species